rnacentral:rRNA from 1 species
AUAGAAAGAAGAGUUUGAUCCUGGCUCAGGAUAAACGCUAGCGGCAGGCCUCAUACAUGCAAGUCGAGGGGCAGCGGAACACUUCGGUGUUGCCGGCGACCGGCGCACGGGUGCGUAAUGCGUAUGCAAUCUACUUUACACUGGGGCAUAGCUUCCGGAAACGGAAAUUAAUACCCCAUAUAAUCUUAUUAACGCCUGUUAAAAAGAUGAAAGCUCCGGCGGUGUAAAAUGAGCAUGCGUCCUAUUAGCUAGUUGGAGAGGUAAUGGCUCACCAAGGCGAUGAUGGGUAGGGGUUCUUAGUGGAAGGUCCCCCACACUGGCACUGAGAUACGGGCCAGACUCCUACGGGAGGCAGCAGUAGGGAAUAUUGGUCAAUGGGCGCAAGCCUGAACCAGCCAUGCCGCGUGCAGGAUGAAGGCUCUCUGAGUUGUAAACUGCUUUUGUAUAGGAACAAAAAAGCUUCUGCGGAGGUUCUUGAGGGUACUAUAAGAAUAAGCACCGGCUAAUUCCGUGCCAGCAGCCGCGGUAAUACGGAAGGUGCAAGCGUUAUCCGGUUUUAUUGGGUUUAAAGGGUGCGUAGGCGGUUUAUUAAGUCAGUUGUGAAAUCCUAGUGCUUAACGCUAGAACUGCAAUUGAUACUGGUAGACUUGAGUUAAGAAGAGGUAAGUAGAAUUUAUGGUGUAGUAGUGAAAUGCUUAGAUAUCAUAAGGAAUACCAAUAGCGUAGGCAGCUUACUGGUCUUUAACUGACGCUGAGGCACGAAAGCGUGGGGAGCAAACAGGAUUAGAUACCCUGGUAGUCCACGCCGUAAACGAUGAUCACUAGAUAUGCACGAUAUAUCGUGUGUGUUCAAGCGAAAGCGUUAAGUGAUCCACCUGGGGAGUAUACUCGCAAGGGUGAAACUCAAAGGAAUUGACGGGGGUCCGCACAAGCGGUGGAGUAUGUGGUUUAAUUCGUUAAUCCGCGAGGAACCUUACCUGGGCUAGAAUGUAUUUUGCAACCUCGAGAAAUUGAGGGUUCCUUCGGGACGGAAUACAAGGUGCUGCAUGGCUGUCGUCAGCUCGUGCCGUGAGGUGUUGGGUUAAGUCCUAUAACGAGCGCAACCCUUUUACUUAGUUGCCAGCACGUAAUGGUGGGGACUUUAAGUAGACUGCCCGUGUAAGCGGGAGGAAGGAGAGGAUGAGGUCAAGUCAUCAUGGCCUUUAUGCCCAGGGCUACACACGUACUACAAUGGCAUGUACAGAAGGAAGCUACUUGGUAACAAGAUGCAAAUCUUAAAAGCAUGUCUCAGUUCGGAUUGGGGUCUGCAAUUCGACCCCAUGAAGUUGGAAUCGCUAGUAAUCGCGUAUCAGCAAUGACGCGGUGAAUACGUUCUCGGACCUUGUACACACCGCCCAUCAAGCCAUGGGAGUUGGUAGAGCUUGAAGACAGUGGCCGUAAAAGGAGCUGUUUAGUGUUAGACCAGCGACUGGGGCUAAGUUGUAACAAGGUAGCCGUACCGGAAGGUGUGGCUGGAACACCUCCUUUAUA